UAUGUGAUCGUCUCUCGCAUAUCAAUAAGCGGAGGAAAAGAAACUAACAAGGAUUCCCCUAGUAACGGCGAGUGAAGCGGGAAGAGCUCAAAUUUGAAAUCUUAAAGGGUUUCCCUUUACGAAUUGUAGUUUAAAGAAGUGUUUUCUGUUGAGGUUUUGGUAAAAGUUCUUUGGAAUAGGACAUCAUAGAGGGUGAGAAUCCCGUAUUUGACCUUUACUUUCAACUUUGUGAUACACUUUCAAAGAGUCGGAUUGUUUGGGAAUGCAGUCCAAAAUGGGUGGUAAAUUUCAAUCUAAAGCUAAAUAUUGGCGAGAGACCGAUAGCGAACAAGUACCGUGAGGGAAAGAUGAAAAGAACUUUGAAAAGAGAGUUAAACAGUACGUGAAAUUGUCAAAAGGGAAGCGUUUGACACCAGUGUUGUUUUUCUGAAAAUCAAUUAAAGAACUGUUUAUGCUAAGUUGUUUAGACUUUAUCAGCUAACUGUUUAGUUUUGAGCUUUUCUUUAAUGCACUUUUCAGUUAACAAGUCAACAUCAAUUUCUUUUGCUGUAAAAAAGCUUGAGGAAGGUGGCUUGAGAUUCGUCUUAAGUGUUUAUAGCCUCUUGCCUAUGCAGUCGGAGAGAUUGAGGUCUGCAGCGUAGAUCCUUCGGGGCUAAAUGCAUUUGUGCUAAGUUAUAGCAUUUUAUAGACAACUUGUUGACUAUGAUUUGUCUUGUAGCUUACUCGCUUAUGUUAUUUUACCUACGCUUAGGAUGUUGACUGAUAUGUAGUCGU
rnacentral:rRNA from 1 species